rnacentral:rRNA from 1 species
AUUGAACGCUGGCGGCAGGCCUAACACAUGCAAGUCGAACGAGUGGCGGACGGGUGAGUAAUGUCUGGGAAACUGCCUGAUGGAGGGGGAUAACUACUGGAAACGGUAGCUAAUACCGCCUACCAUCGGAUGUGCCCAGAUGGGAUUAGCUAGUAGGUGGGGUAAAGGCUCACCUAGGCGACGAUCCCUAGCUGGUCUGAGAGGAUGAACAGACACACUGGAACUGAGACACGGGCCAGACGACUACGGGAGGCAGCAGGGGGGAAUAGUGAACAAUGGGAGCAAGCCUGAUGCAGCCAGGCCGGGUGUAUGAAGAAGGCCUUCGGGUUGUAAAGUACUGUCAGCGGGGAGGCGUUACCCGCAGAAGAAGCACCGGCUAACUCCGUGACAGCCGCCGCGGUAAUAC